GACGAACGCUGGCGGCGUGCUUAACACAUGCAAGUCGAGCGGAAAGGCCUCCUUCGGGGGGUACUCGAGCGGCGAACGGGUGAGUAACACGUGAGUGAUCUGCCCUCCACUUCGGGAUAACUGCCUGAAAGGGUGGCUAAUACUGGAUAUUCCUUCAUUGCUGCAUGGUGGUGGGGGGAAAGGGUUUCUGGUGGGGGAUGUGCUCGCGGCCUAUCAGCUUGUUGGUGGGGUAAUGGCCUACCAAGGCUUUGACGGGUAGCCGGCCUGAGAGGGUGACCAGCCACACUGGGACUGAGACACGGCCCAGACUCCUACGGGAGGCAGCAGUGGGGAAUAUUGGACAAUGGGCGGAAGCCUGAUCCAGCAACGCCGCGUGAGGGAUGACGGCCUUCGGGUUGUAAACCUCUUUCAGCACAGACGAAGCUGCCGCUACGUGUGGUGGUGGUGACGGUAUGUGCAGAAGAAGCACCGGCCAACUACGUGCCAGCCGCCGCCG
rnacentral:rRNA from 1 species